rnacentral:rRNA from 2 species
CGGACGGGUGAGUAACGCGUGAGAAUCUGCCCUCUGGUCGGGGACAACCACGGGAAACGGUGGCUAAUACCGGAUAGGCCGCAAGGUAAAAGAUUUAUUGCCAGAAGAGGAGCUCGCGUCUGAUUAGCUAGUUGGUGGGGUAAAAGCCUACCAAGGCGGCGAUCAGUAGCUGGUCUGAGAGGAUGAGCAGCCACACUGGGACUGAGACACGACCCAGACUCCUACGGGAGGCAGCAGUGGGGAAUUUUCCGCAAUGGGCGAAAGCCUGACGGAGCAAUACCGCGUGAGGGAGGAAGGCUCUUGGGUCGUAAACCUCUUUUGUCAAGGAAGAAGUUCUGACGGUACUUGACGAAUAAGCAUCGGCUAACUCCGUGCCAGCAGCCGCGGUAAUACGGAGGAUGCAAGCGUUAUCCGGAAUUAUUGGGCGUAAAGCGUCCGCAGGUGGCGUAUCAAGUCUGCUGUUAAAGACCGGGGCUAAACUCCGGAAAGGCAGUGGAAACUGAAACGCUAGAGUGCAGGAGGGGUAGAGGGAAUUCCCGGUGUAGCGGUGAAAUGCGUAGAUAUCGGGAAGAACAUCGGUGGCGAAAGCGCUCUACUGGACUGCAACUGACACUCAGGGACGAAAGCUAGGGGAGCGAAUGGGAUUAGAUACCCCAGUAGUCCUAGCCGUAAACGAUGGAUACUAGGUGUGGCUUGUAUCGACCCGAGCCGUGCCGUAGCUAACGCGUUAAGUAUCCCGCCUGGGGAGUACGCGCGCAAGCGUGAAACUCAAAGGAAUUGACGGGGGCCCGCACAAGCGGUGGAGUAUGUGGUUUAAUUAGAUGCAACGCGAAGAACCUUCACAGGGCUUGACAUGUCGCGAAUCUUGGUGAAAGCUGAGAGUGCUUACGGGAGCGCGAACACAGGUGGUGCAUGGCUGUUGUCAGCUCGUGUCGUGAGAUGUUGGGUUAAGUCCCGCAACGAGCGCAACCCUCGUUUUUAGUUGCCAUCAUUAAGUUGGGCACUCUAGAGAGACUGCCGGUGACAAACCGGAGGAAGGUGGGGAUGACGUCAAGUCAGCAUGCCCCUUACGUUCUGGGCUACACACGUACUACAAUGGUGAGGACAAAGGGCAGCGAACCCGCGAGGGCAAGCCAAUCCCAUCAAACCUCGCCUCAGUUCAGAUUGCAGGCUGCAACUCGCCUGCAUGAAGGAGGAAUCGCUAGUAAUCGCCGGUCAGCAUACGGCGGUGAAUCCGUUCCCGGGCCUUGUACACACCGCCCGUCACCCCAUGGAAGCUGGCCACGCCCGAA